UACGGAGGGUGCAAGCGUUAUCCGGAUUCACUGGGUUUAAAGGGCGCGUAGGUGGGCAGGUAAGUCAGUGGUGAAAUCUCCGGGCUUAACUCGGAAACUGCCAUUGAUACUAUCUGUCUUGAAUACCGUGGAGGUUAGCGGAAUAUGUCAUGUAGCGGUGAAAUGCUUAGAUAUGACAUAGAACACCAAUUGCGAAGGCAGCUGGCUACACGAAUAUUGACACUGAUGCACGAAAGCGUGGGGAUCAAACAGG
rnacentral:rRNA from 1 species